CCUACGGGAGGCAGCAGUGGGGGAUAUUGGACAAUGGGGGAAACCCUGAUCCAGCGACGCCGCGUGAGUGAAGAAGUAUUUCGGUAUGUAAAGCUCUAUCAGCAGGGAAGAAAGAAAUGACGGUACCUGAGUAAGAAGCCCCGGCUAACUACGUGCCAGCAGCCGCGGUAAUACGUAGGCGGCAAGCGUUAUCCGGAAUUACUGGGUGUAAAGGGAGCGUAGACGGUAAUGCAAGUCUGGAGUGAAGGGCGGGGGCCCAACCCCGGGACUGCUCUGGAAACUGUGUAACUGGAGUGCAGGUGAGGCAGGCGGAAUUCAUGGUGUAGCGGUGAAAUGCGUAGAUAUUAGGCGGAACACCAGUGGCGAAGGCGGCCUGCUGGACUGUGACUGACGUUGAGGCUCGAAAGCGUGGGGAGCAAACAGGAUUAGAUACCCGAGUAGUC
rnacentral:rRNA from 1 species